rnacentral:ncRNA from 1 species
UGUUUCGUCUAAUAGGGAGUGGGACAGAAAUAAUAUUUAACAAAAUUUAUUUCGUUCUACCCCAACUUGCAUUGUCUGUAGAAUUUCCUUUCGAAAUUCUCUAUGUUGGGGCCCCACCCCAACUUGCACAUUAUUGUAAGCUGACAGAAAGUCAGCUUCUUUGUUUGGGGGCCCCGCCAACUUGCACAUUAUUGUAAGCUGACAGAAAAUCAGCUUCUAUGUUGGGGCCCCACUAGAAUUGAAAAAAGCUUGUUACAAGCGUAUUUUCUUUCAGUCAACUACAGCCAAUAUAACAUUGUAGUGCCUAGGACAUUGAAUUUAU